GAUGAAUAACGUAGCGAAAUGCGAUAAGUAGUGUGAAUUGCAGAAUUCAGUGAAUCAUCGAAUCUUUGAACGCACAUUGCGCCCCUUGGUAUUCCAUGGGGCAUGCCUGUUCGAGCGUCAUUUGUACCCUCAAGCUCUGCUUGGUGUUGGGUGCCUGUCCCGCCCCCGCGCGUGGACUCACCUCAAAUCCAUUGGCGGCCCUCACGUCGGCUUCGAGCGCAGCAGAAACGCGAACUCGUGGCCCGGCGGAGCGGCUCCCAGAAGCUACUUUCACCAUUUUGACCUCGGAUCAGGUAGGGAUACCCGCUGAACUUAAGCAUAUCAAUAAGCGGAGGA
rnacentral:misc_RNA from 1 species